UCUGCAAGCUUUGUUUACCUUUCUGUCUGGUACAUUUCUGCUGUGGUUUAACCUGGCAGGCAGCUCCAUACCAUGCAGGGACUCGGGGGGACAGGGAGAGAAUUAGGCAAAAACAAAAGUAAAACUCAUGGGUGGGGAUAAAGACAGCUCAAUAGAAAAGGGGUUGAAAUUAGAGCAAACAGAAACAAAACAGAACAAAAAAAGUACAAAAAAUAAGUGAUACACAGCACAAUGUCUUUCUACCCAGCAGCAGGGAUGCCAGCUGAGCCCUGAACCCUGCUUUUGAAACCAUGGUAGCUGGGUCCCUCAGGAUGAGGAGCCAAGAAAGGAGACCAGAGCCAAAUCUCUCUUGGGCAUCCUGAGCACCUGUUGAAACACAGUGGAUAGCUGAGAA
rnacentral:lncRNA from 1 species